CGGAGCACAUCAGAGCAGAUGUCACAACCCAGAAAGCUAGAAGCCAUGGGAGAAGCAGGGAGCCACUCGAAUCGUUGUGAAGCUGGCGUGAAACAUCAACGAGAGAGGAACCAGAAGGGGAGCUGCUGGUCUUGAUCUAUUAAGAGGAGGAUCCCAACCCAGACAUGAAAGCGGAGAGUAAGCCCCACAAUUGACUCCAUGAUGGACCACACGUGAGAAAUUAAAUAAACAUCAUUCAUCACUGGC